GGGGUGACUGCGUACCUUUUGUAUAAUGGGUCAGCGACUUAUAUUCUGUAGCAAGGUUAACCGUAUAGGGGAGCCGUAGGGAAACCGAGUCUUAACUGGGCGAAUGAGUUGCAGGGUAUAGACCCGAAACCCGGUGAUCUAUCCAUGGGCAGGUUGAAGGUUGGGUAACACUAACUGGAGGACCGAACCGACUAAUGUUGAAAAA
rnacentral:rRNA from 1 species